rnacentral:rRNA from 1 species
AACGGGUGCGGAACACGUACAGAACCUACCUUCGAGCGGGGGAUAGCCCAGAGAAAUUUGGAUUAAUACCCCAUAGUAUAUUUGGAUGGCAUCAUUUGAAUAUUAAAGAUUUAUCACUUGAAGAUGGCUGUGCGUAUGAUUAGGUAGUUGGCGGGGUAACGGCCCACCAAGCCUACGAUCAUUAACUGGUGUGAGAGCACGACCAGUCACACGGGCACUGAGACACGGGCCCGACUCCUACGGGAGGCAGCAGUAAGGAAUAUUGGUCAAUGGACGCAAGUCUGAACCAGCCAUGCCGCGUGGAGGAUGAAGGUCCUCUGGAUUGUAAACUUCUUUUAUCUGGGACGAAAAAAGGGAAUUCUUUCUCGUCUGACGGUACCAAAUGAAUAAGCACCGGCUAACUCCGUGCCAGCAGCCGCGGUAAUACGGAGGGUGCAAGCGUUAUCCGGAUUCACUGGGUUUAAAGGGUGCGUAGGCGGGUAUGUAAGUCCGUGGUGAAAUCUCCGAGCUUAGCUCGGAAACUGCCAUGGGUACUGCGUAUCUUGAAUGUUGUGGAGGUGAGCGGAAUAUGUCAUGUAGCGGUGAAAUGCUUAGAUAUGACAUAGAACACCAAUUGCGAAGGCAGCUCACUACACAAAUAUUGACGCUGAGGCACGAAAGCGUGGGGAUCAAACAGGAUUAGAUACCCUGGUAGUCCACGCCCUAAACGAUGAUUACUCGACAUACGCGAUACACAGUGUGUGUCUGAGCGAAAGCAUUAAGUAAUCCACCUGGGAAGUACGACCGCAAGGUUGA